rnacentral:rRNA from 1 species
UGCAGUCGACGCGUGUAGCAUACACGAGUGGCGGACGGGUGAGUAACGCGUGGGAACCUGCCCAGUGGUAGGGAAUAACUGCGGGAAACUGCAGCUAAUACCCUAUGAGCCCUACGGGGGAAAGAUUUAUCGCCAUUGGAGGGGCCCGCGUCGGAUUAGCUAGUUGGUAGGGUAACGGCCUACCAAGGCGACGAUCCGUAGCUGGUCUGAGUGGAUGAUCGGCCACACUGGGACUGAGAUACGGCCCAGACUCCUACGGGAGGCAGCAGUGGGGAAUAUCGGACAAUGGGGGAAACCCUGAUCCAGCAAUGCCGCGUGAGUGAAGAAGGCCUUAGGGUUGUAAAGCUCUUUCGGCGGGGACGAUGAUGACGGUACCCGCAGAAGAAGCCCCGGCUAACUUCGUGCCAGCAGCCGCGGUAAUACGAAGGGGGCUAGCGUUGUUCGGAAUCACUGGGCGUAAAGGGCGCGUAGGCGGCUUGACAAGUCAGGUGUGAAAGCCCCGGGCUCAACCCGGGAAUUGCACUUGAUACUGUCUGGCUAGAGUCCGGGAGAGGAUGGCGGAAUUCCCAGUGUAGAGGUGAAAUUCGUAGAUAUUGGGAAGAACACCGGUGGCGAAGGCGGCCAUCUGGACCGGUACUGACGCUGAGGCGCGAAAGCGUGGGGAGCAAACAGGAUUAGAUACCCUGGUAGUCCACGCCGUAAACGAUGAGUGCUAGACGUCGGGGGGGUUCACCCUCCGGUGUCGCAGCUAACGCCUUAAGCACUCCGCCU